AGUUGCAAGUAUUCUUUGGUAAUGUGCACCUGAAAUAUUAAAAUAUUAUUACUAUCAUUAAUAUAGAGUAUAAAAUAAUAAUAGUAAUACAAAUAUUCAUGCUCGCAUGUGCAUCGCAUACGUUGGUGCUGAAGGAUCAGUUAAACCUAGCCCAAAACAUAGAGAGGAAUGCAUGGAAAAACAUUGAUUUGUUUAACAGGCUUAGGAUAAAAAUGGAAAGAACUAAGGAUAAAUAAAUAUCAAAAGUAAAAUCUGAGUAUAUGUAUGAAGUAUAUGCAUAUAAAUUAUAAUGUCACUAUAAAAAGAAACAAAACGAUCAUAUUAAUCUCGUUUCUUAAUUAGCGAGUACGAUUUAUUUUCGCGUACGUAUCUACGAAACGUGAAAGUAGUCAAGGAAUAUAAUAUUUCUAUGCAUCCAAGUUCAAAAUGUACUUGUUACAACCUUAUGAACAAACUUUCAUUCCGUAGAUAUAUAAAAUAAAAUUUAUCAAAAAAAAAAAAAAA